CGGUCACGAUUGCACCUGAUGUUAAAAAUCAUGCUAACAUCAGUUUGUGAAAAAACCGAUUUCUAUUGUUAUUAUAGACAUCAGUCACAAACUUAAACGAUGAGAAAAAUUUCAUUCGGAAAAUUUUUAAAAACGCUGAGGGACUAAGUUUAAAAAUUUGAGAACCGCGGGGACCAAUUAUUUCAUUCCGCCAACACUUGGUACUUUUUUCCGCUUUCUCUAAAACUUUCGAACCCUAGUAAUAACCACUCUCACAAUUUGACUUCAGCAACUCAUUCACCUUGUCGACCUCAUCGUUCUCCAAGCUGACCUGCUCCCCGACAUCCUUCUCCAACCUGACGUGCUCCGAGUCCCCGACUUCAUUCUCCUACCUAAGCCGACUGGCACAGCCUCCGACCUGACCCCGAGUCCCCAACCUCGCUCUCUGACUGCGAGUUCCUAGAUCUGCCUCGCUCUCUAUCCCCGAGUCCUUGACCUCGCUCUCUGACCACGAGUUCCUGACCUCGCUCUCUGACCGCGAGUUCCUAGAUCUGCCUUGCUGUCUGACCCCGAGUCCCUGACCUCGUUCUCCAAACCUCGAGCUUGAGAUCCGAUCUAACCUAGAGCUUAUUAGCCAACCUGAGCUUGUCAUUCUCUAACUUGAGCCAGCUCUAGCUAGUUCUCCAACGUCUAGUCGUGUAGGUCCUCUCUCUCUCUUCUCUUGGUGACCACCAAUACUGAUUUCCUGUCCGAUUUUGAUCUAAAGUCGUCCAUUAUUCAUUUUGGACAAGCAAAGGCUACUUAUAAAGAAGAAAGAUAUUCAUGCAUUGCAGCAGAGGAUGAGCUAGCUCCAAUCUUCAACAUAUUUUUCUUCAGUGAUUACAUCCCUCCAAUCUUACAUUCUUCUUGUUUUUUUUUUUUUAGGAACACCCUGAAGACGGUGGUUGGCAUGAUCUUGUAGCAAAAGGAUUUAUAGAAUAUAUGGAUACUGAAGAAGAGGAGACCACUAUGAUUUAGAUGACAAUUAAUGAUCUUGUACAAGCAAGGCUCAAUCCUGAGGAGGCAUAUUCUGACACUUAUGCUCAUUGCAAAAUUCACCCGUCACUUAUAUUGGGUGUUUGUGCUUCAAUUAUACCAUUUCCUGAUCAUAAUCAGUCCACGUAAUACGUUCAAUCUGCCAUGAGAAAGCAAGCUAUGGGAAUUUAUGUCACUAACUACCAGUUUUGAAUGGAUACACUGGCUUAUGUUCUGUACUACCCUCAGAAGCCGCUUGUCACUACAUGAGCCAUCGAGCAUCUUCACUUCAGGAAACUUCUUGCUAGAAUUGUAAAAAUAUCUCUUUCUUUUAGUUUCUCAUUUCUUUUCCUUGUUUUUUUUUUCCUCUCUUUCCUAACUUCACUCCGUAAUGAUUUAUGUCUACGCAUUGUUACCAUUUCCUGCUACUCUGGUUAUAAUCAGGAAGAUUUUGUCAUUAUGAAUCAAUCCUCUAUAGAUUGUGGAUUUUUUUGGUCACUAUUCUUCCACUCCUAUAGGUUAGCUUGUUUCCAACACCUAUUGCAAGGACAUGUUGUUCAUAUUAUUCUAUUGUGUUGCAUAAAAAAGAUGGGGACCCAUGUCAAAGAAGAUUUCGGACAUCUAGACAGAGUAAAUACGAUGGGUAUGUGGCAUGGUUCUUAUGAUAAAUUGGAUAAUGAUUUGCACAUCCUGUUAUAUUACAAGACUACUGGGAGAAGCGGAGGAUUUGGGUUUGCGACUAUGUCUAGUGAUCAGGAAGUAGAAGCAGCUGCUCGAUAGUUUAAUAGCUAUGUAAGUCACCAUAUUAUAUCAUUUGUUUGUAUAUAUGCGAAAAUUUGAAACAAAUUCUAGAUAUGAGAUAGUUGGAUUGGUGUAAAAUUGAGUUAACAUUUCCAAGUGGUGAAACAUUUGAGUUAAUAUUUCUAGUCAGAGUAAAAUUACACUGAGUUUCUUUUCAGAUUGCUUAAUUUGGAAGGGUAAUUGGUUCAUACAAGAGAAGAGCUGUAAGAUACUUGCUUGAAUUUGUGCGUAUUUAGUAGUCGGGGGACUCUGUAUGGUCAUUUUUAAUUCUUCUGAUGUUAAACAACCAUUGAGAAAUGGUGGGAGCGAAUGACCUGUUGGUUAUUGGGCCAGGAGUACUUGGGCAUUUAGUUGCAAAGAAAUGGCGGGAGGUACUUAUCUUUGUCUACAUUUUGAUUAGUUUUAGUGACAAAAUAGUCAAAUUUAGUUCAAUUCUGUAAUGGUUAAGCAAUUGAGCUUAUAAGAGCAUACGGGUUGUGAAAUAUAUGGGCAAACGGUGACCGUUGGUCACCAUGAAGAGUUGAUCGAGGUGGUAUUAAUUCAUGUUUGAAGGGGACCAUAAAUUUCCUAAUGUCAUUUUCUGUGCUCCACCAUCUAGAACCUCCGAUUAUCCCAAUGAUGUUUGGUGAGUAUGUGAGUUGUUUUGAGUUAAUUGAAUUGAAAUGUAUGUGGAAGGCAAUCUUUGUUUUCUUUUUACUAGAUUUUUAACAUGCUUUAGAAUGCUAUAUAUGCACCAUGCUGCAUGUCUUCUCAGUUAUCUUUUCUUUGUUAGAAUCUAUCCGAAACUUUGUGGUCUGGAGGUAGAUUUGAAUCAAUUACCCCACAUGAAAAUAUUCAAUUCAGUUUCAACCAUUUGAACCUUUGGGCAUUUCUAUAGGUUUGAUUGCUUAAAGCUCUUCAUAUCUACUGUAUAUAUUGCAAGCCCCCUCAACUUGUCCUUGGCAUGUCUACGUAAGUUAAUCCUUUAGUUAUCAUUUUCUUUUUUAAAACCUACCCGAAAGUUUGCUAUCCAAGAUAUAGUUUUGAUUAAUAAUAAACUUGCAUAUAUAUUAUAUUCUAUUCAGUUUCAACAAUUUCAACCUUUGUGGGUUGUUGUAUUGUGCUCUCGUAUUCCUAUCAGUUUUAUAGUAUAUGAGAUAUUAAGAUCUUAUUGGCUGGCACAGAGGCGACUAAUUACUUUUCUUUAUGGACUCCACAAUUUUAGGGUAUUCAUGCCCUUUGAUUGUUGUUCUAUGCAUUCUUUUUUUCAGACCUAACACGAUAAUAUUAAUUUUGUGUCUUUUCAUGAGGCCUGAUUAUUCUACUGAUCUGGUUAGCCUUGCUUGUAGGAGCCUUUCAGCAAUUGCAUCAUCAACAGGUGAGUGAUCCUAGACUUUCUAUUUGCAGUCGGUUCUAUUAUAGGGUGGCACUACAGGUGAACCUUUGUUCUCAGUCAUCAAAUAUUCAUGGAGGAUGCAGUGGAAUUGGCAUAUUUGCGAUUCAUAUGGCUAAGUACCAGGGAGCAACUGUAUCUGCAAUAGCAGGUACUGAUGCAAAGAUAGCUGGGCGGUAAAGGAUCGGAAAGGGUAUACCCAACAACAACUUGACGAGGUCCGCAUUGAAGUAGCCGACUACUUACAGACUCUGCUGUAGGUUCUGACCAGUUUCUUGAUUUUGAGUUAGGCUAGUUUUUAAUUAACUUUUUUGUAGCAAUUAUGAACAAACAUGAAUACUAAUUGCUAGGCUAGCCUUGUAGUAUAUAGGUGCAUGAAAUGGGGUUUUAUUUUGCCCAUUUUGUAAACUGUUAAGGAUGAUGAAUGUCGGAUAUAAUACCCCAAUUUGCAAU